rnacentral:misc_RNA from 1 species
AAAUGCGAUAAGUAGUGUGAAUUGCAGAAUUCAGUGAAUCAUCGAAUCUUUGAACGCACAUUGCGCCCUUUGGUAUUCCUUAGGGCAUGCCUGUUCGAGCGUCAUUUAAACCUUCAAGCUCAGCUUGGUGAUGGGUGAUUGUCCCCCCCCUCGCGGGGGGACUCGCCUCAAAAACAUUGGCGGCCGGUACAUUGGCUUCGAGCGCAGCAGAAACGCGGUCUCGAGUCCUGUGGAUCGGCUCCCAUAAGCCUCUUCUUUUAUUUUGACCUCGGAUCAGGUAGGGAUACCCGCUGAACUUAAGC